rnacentral:rRNA from 1 species
UACGAAGGGUGCAAGCGUUACUCGGAAUUACUGGGCGUAAAGCGUGCGUAGGUGGUUUGUUAAGUCUGUUGUGAAAGCCCCGGGCUCAACCUGGGAAUGGCAAUGGAUACUGGCAAGCUAGAGUGCGGUAGAGGGUAGUGGAAUUCCCGGUGUAGCGGUGAAAUGCGUAGAGAUCGGGAGGAACACCUGUGGCGAAGGCGGCCAACUGGUCCGGUACUGACGCUGAGGUGCGAAAGCGUGGGGAGCAAACGGG